GCCCCCACGUCCUAGGGUAUGCCUGCUUUCUUAUGGAUGGACGCACAUGGAGUCGAGCCAGACCAUUCGAUCCCACCUUGAUCAUGGACUGUAUCUACUCUGAUCAAAGAUUUGCUCAAAAAAGUCUCUUAUAGUAAUAGAAACUUCACUCUGCGAUGUCGCCAUCAUCCUUCCGAGUCUCCCGUCUCGUGCUCAAUCCACUUGCAUUUGGAGCUCCACCUCGCACUGGACUCUUCUUGGCUCCUGAAGUUUCACCUCGCACUGGGCUCUCUAUCAGAUAGUAAUGUUCUCUUAUCCUCUUCUUCCCCUCAAGGAUAAUCUUAUCACUAUGCAUAAUCUUCAGAAUUUCAUCACUAGCUACCCACCUAUAGCCGUUUGAAUCUAAUCUAUUUAGUGAGAUAAGAUUCUAUCUAAAAUUGGAUAUGUAUCAGACCUCAUCCAAUCUCCUUACUGCAUCAUCAUGUAUCC
rnacentral:lncRNA from 1 species